UGUUCUAAUGUUAAUGAAGAUUUUAAUGGAUGAAGCUACUCCUUGAGCAGUGCUGCCUUUUCGAUCCUAUCAGUAUCAACUCAUGCCUCAACGACGCACUUAUGUAAACAUUGUCUCUGCGUGGUGUUUUAGGAAACACAUGUUACAUCUUUGGCCAUUGUAGGAAAGAUUCAUCGAUAAAACACUUCUGCUGUGCCAACCGUGCCCCGGUGGCUCUCUGCAGCGUGGGGGCAAGGAGGGAUCAGCAUGCCGCUACCAGUAAUACGGAACACAAGGCCCAUGGACAGGGCAGGACAGUCUGGCCCAGGAGGACCCUGAGAUGUGGGGCCUGCUGCGGAAAGAGGACAGACAGUGCAUCUCACCGCUUCAGAGGUUUUUCUCUCCUCCCUACAGAACUUCUGCAGACUGGCUGCUCUCGAGGUCCAGGGAUCCUGCAUCAACAACAAGUUCUCAGAGGGGUACCCAGGCAGGAGGCAAGACUGCGGAUACUGCAGGACUAGGCACUAGUUGAGCCUGCCAUAUGACUCACUGGCUACAACCAGCUGGAAGUGACUGCCCGUCUCUUCCGACCCAAGGUGAUCAUUUCAGGUACCAGCGCCUAUGCAUAUGUCAUUGACUAUGCUCGCUUUAUGAAGGCUGGUUGUUCCUGGUCCUCUGGCUGAGGCUGGCCCCCACGACACCCCUCCGUCUCCCGUGGACAUCUAGGGAGGUCCUGCCUAUGCCGUCAGAUGCCUACUGAACUCCCGACAUUGUGGGGGUCGGCUCCAUUACCUGGUGGACUGGGAGGGGUAUGGUCCAGAGGAGCAAUGUUGGGUUCCAAAGGUUGGGUUCCAAAGGUGGAAAUCAUCGAGUGCCUGGGAGCUCCCCCUCCCAGGCACUCGAUGUCGCCGGUUUCUGACAACCAUUACGCACACAUGGAAUUAUUGUUACGUGCACCUGUGCCCCAUCAUGAGACAUACCUGUACUCACUUCACCUAUAUCAUGAGACAUACCUGUACUUACCUCCCCUAUAUCUGUCACUCCCUUAGUUUCAUUGCCCAAUCAGUAUUGGUUAUGUGUUUCAUGUCCAGACACUACUCUUGUUCUGUAUCGUUCCAUGUUCAUUGUAUUAUUAAACUCACCAGCUGC